rnacentral:rRNA from 1 species
GAUGAACGCUGGCGGCGUGCCUAAUACAUGCAAGUCGAGCGAAUGGAUUAAGAGCUUGCUCUUAUGAAGUUAGCGGCGGACGGGUGAGUAACACGUGGGUAACCUGCCCAUAAGACUGGGAUAACUCCGGGAAACCGGGGCUAAUACCGGAUAAUAUUUUGAACUGCAUGGUUCAAAAUUGAAAGGCGGCUUCGGCUGUCACUUAUGGAUGGACCCGCGUCGCAUUAGCUAGUUGGUGAGGUAACGGCUCACCAAGGCAACGAUGCGUAGCCGACCUGAGAGGGUGAUCGGCCACACUGGGACUGAGACACGGCCCAGACUCCCACGGGAGGCAGCAGUAGGGAAUCUUCCGCAAUGGACGAAAGUCUGACGGAGCAACGCCGCGUGAGUGAUGAAGGCUUUCGGGUCGUAAAACUCUGUUGUUAGGGAAGAACAAGUGCUAGUUGAAUAAGCUGGCACCUUGACGGUACCUAACCAGAAAGCCACGGCGAACUACGUGCCAGCCGCCGCGGUAA